rnacentral:rRNA from 1 species
CUAAGCGUACACGGUGGAUGCCCUGGCAGUCAGAGGCGAUGAAGGGCGUGCUAAUCUGCGAUAAGCGCCGGUAAGGUGAUAUGAACCGUUAUAACCGGCGAUACCCGAAUGGGGAAACCCAGUGUGACUCGUCACACUAUCAUUAACUGAAUCCAUAGGUUAAUGAGGCGAACCGGGGGAACUGAAACAUCUAAGUACCCCGAGGAAAAGAAAUCAACCGAGAUUCCCCCAGUAGCGGCGAGCGAACGGGGAGGAGCCCAGAGCCUGAAUCAGCAUGUGUGUUAGUGGAAGCGUCUGGAAAGGCGCGCGAUACAGGGUGACAGCCCCGUACACAAAAGCGCAUGUGCUGUGAGCUCGAUGAGUAGGGCGGGACACGUGGUAUCCUGUCUGAAUAUGGGGGGACCAUCCUCCAAGGCUAAAUACUCCUGACUGACCGAUAGUGAACCAGUACCGUGAGGGAAAGGCGAAAAGAACCCCGGCGAGGGGAGUGAAAAAGAACCUGAAACCGUGUACGUACAAGCAGUGGGAGCCCCACCACUAAGCCAGUGGUGAACUCCACAUCCGCAUCCUUUGCUGAGGAUACGGUUAACGGAGCGAAAGCGACGUUCAACCGCAAAACAAGCAGAGGGGGCUUAGUGGUGGGGUGACUGCGUACCUUUUGUAUAAUGGGUCAGCGACUUAUAUUCUGUAGCAAGGUUAACCGUAUAGGGGAGCCGGAGGGAAACCGAGUCUUAAUUGGGCGUUAAGUUGCAGGGUAUAGACCCGAAACCCGGUGAUCUAGCCAUGGGCAGGUUGAAGGUUGGGUAACACUAACUGGAGGACCGAACCGACUAAUGUUGAAAAAUUAGCGGAUGACCUGUGGCUGGGGGUGAAAGGCCAAUCAAACCGGGAGAUAGCUGGUUCUCCCCGAAAGCUAUUUAGGUAGCGCCUCGUGAAUUCAUCUCCGGGGGUAGAGCACUGUUUCGGCUAGGGGGCCAUCCCGGCUUACCAACCCGAUGCAAACUGCGAAUACCGGAGAAUGUUAUCACGGGAGACACACGGCGGGUGCUAACGUCCGUCGUGAAGAGGGAAACAACCCAGACCGCCAGCUAAGGUCCCAAAGUCAUGGUUAAGUGGGAAACGAUGUGGGAAGGCCCAGACAGCCAGGAUGUUGGCUUAGAAGCAGCCAUCAUUUAAAGAAAGCGUAAUAGCUCACUGGUCGAGUCGGCCUGCGCGGAAGAUGUAACGGGGCUAAACCAUGCACCGAAGCUGCGGCAGCGAACGUAUCACCCAAGACAACUUUACGGAGUUGACGAUUGACGGAGCGAAGCGACGUCAAAGCGUUCAUUAAAGUCGAGUUGGCUUAGGGAUACGUUCGUUGGGUAGGGGAGCGUUCUGUAAGCCUGUGAAGGUGUGUCGUGAGGCAUGCUGGAGGUAUCAGAAGUGCGAAUGCUGACAUAAGUAACGAUAAAGCGGGUGAAAAGCCCGCUCGCCGGAAGACCAAGGGUUCCUGUCCAACGUUAAUCGGGGCAGGGUGAGUCGACCCCUAAGGCGAGGCCGAAAGGCGUAGUCGAUGGGAAACGGGUUAAUAUUCCCGUACUUGGUGUUACUGCGAAGGGGGGACGGAGAAGGCUAUGUUGGCCGGGCGACGGUUGUCCCGGUUUAAGCGUGUAGGUGUGUGUUCCAGGUAAAUCCGGUUCACUUUAACACUGAGGCGUGACGACGAGGCACUACGGUGCUGAAGCAACAAAUGCCCUGCUUCCAGGAAAAGCCUCUAAGCAUCAGGUAACACGAAAUCGUACCCCAAACCGACACAGGUGGUCAGGUAGAGAAUACCAAGGCGCUUGAGAGAACUCGGGUGAAGGAACUAGGCAAAAUGGUGCCGUAACUUCGGGAGAAGGCACGCUGACACGUAGGUGAAGUGAUUUACUCAUGGAGCUGAAGUCAGUCGAAGAUACCAGCUGGCUGCAACUGUUUAUUAAAAACACAGCACUGUGCAAACACGAAAGUGGACGUAUACGGUGUGACGCCUGCCCGGUGCCGGAAGGUUAAUUGAUGGGGUCAGCGUAAGCGAAGCUCCUGAUCGAAGCCCCGGUAAACGGCGGCCGUAACUAUAACGGUCCUAAGGUAGCGAAAUUCCUUGUCGGGUAAGUUCCGACCUGCACGAAUGGCGUAAUGAUGGCCAGGCUGUCUCCACCCGAGACUCAGUGAAAUUGAACUCGCUGUGAAGAUGCAGUGUACCCGCGGCAAGACGGAAAGACCCCGUGAACCUUUACUAUAGCUUGACACUGAACAUUGAGCCUUGAUGUGUAGGAUAGGUGGGAGGCUUUGAAGUGUGGACGCCAGUCUGCAUGGAGCCGACCUUGAAAUACCACCCUUUAAUGUUUGAUGUUCUAACGUGGACCCGUAAUCCGGGUUGCGGACAGUGUCUGGUGGGUAGUUUGACUGGGGCGGUCUCCUCCUAAAGAGUAACGGAGGAGCACGAAGGUUGGCUAAUCCUGGUCGGACAUCAGGAGGUUAGUGCAAUGGCAUAAGCCAGCUUGACUGCGAGCGUGACGGCGCGAGCAGGUGCGAAAGCAGGUCAUAGUGAUCCGGUGGUUCUGAAUGGAAGGGCCAUCGCUCAACGGAUAAAAGGUACUCCGGGGAUAACAGGCUGAUACCGCCCAAGAGUUCAUAUCGACGGCGGUGUUUGGCACCUCGAUGUCGGCUCAUCACAUCCUGGGGCUGAAGUAGGUCCCAAGGGUAUGGCUGUUCGCCAUUUAAAGUGGUACGCGAGCUGGGUUUAGAACGUCGUGAGACAGUUCGGUCCCUAUCUGCCGUGGGCGCUGGAGAACUGAGGGGGGCUGCUCCUAGUACGAGAGGACCGGAGUGGACGCAUCACUGGUGUUCGGGUUGUCAUGCCAAUGGCACUGCCCGGUAGCUAAAUGCGGAAGAGAUAAGUGCUGAAAGCAUCUAAGCACGAAACUUGCCCCGAGAUGAGUUCUCCCUGAGACUUAGAGUCUCCUGAAGGAACGUUGAAGACGACGACGUUGAUAGGCCGGGUGUGUAAGCGCAGCGAUGCGUUGAGCUAACCGGUACUAAUGAACCGUGAGGCUUAACCUUACAACGCCGAAG